GGGGAUGUGGGCCAGUUUGGUUAAGCUUAUAGGUUUGGGACCUAUCGACCCCGGUUCAAAUCCGGGCAUCCCCA
rnacentral:tRNA from 1 species